rnacentral:rRNA from 1 species
GAUGAACGCUGGCGGCGUGCCUAAUACAUGCAAGUCGAGCGAACAGACGAGGAGCUUGCUCCUCUGACGUUAGCGGCGGACGGGUGAGUAACACGUGGAUAACCUACCUAUAAGACUGGGAUAACUUCGGGAAACCGGAGCUAAUACCGGAUAAUAUAUUGAACCGCAUGGUUCAAUAGUGAAAGACGGUUUUGCUGUCACUUAUAGAUGGAUCCGCGCCGCAUUAGCUAGUUGGUAAGGUAACGGCUUACCAAGGCAACGAUGCGUAGCCGACCUGAGAGGGUGAUCGGCCACACUGGAACUGAGACACGGUCCAGACUCCUACGGGAGGCAGCAGUAGGGAAUCUUCCGCAAAGGGCGAAAGCCUGACGGGGCAACGCCGCGUGAGUGAUGAAGGUCUUCGGAUCGUAAAACUCUGUUAUUAGGGAAGAACAAAUGUGUAAGUAACUAUGCACGUCUUGACGGUACCUAAUCAGAAAGCCACGGCUAACUACGUG